ACGGGAGGCAGCAGUGGGGAAUAUUGCGCAAUGGAGGAAACUCUGACGCAGUGACGCCGCGUGCAGGAAGAAGGUUUUCGGAUUGUAAACUGCUUUAGACAGGGAAGAUAAUGACAGUACCUGUAGAAUAAGCUCCGGCUAACUACGUGCCAGCAGCCGCGGUAAUACGUAGGGAGCGAGCGUUAUCCGGAUUUAUUGGGUGUAAAGGGUGCGUAGACGGGAAAUUAAGUUAGUUGUGAAAUCCCUCGGCUUAACUGAGGAACUGCAACUAAAACUAAUUUUCUUGAGUACUGAGAGGAAAGCGGAAUUCCUAGUGUAGCGGUGAAAUGCGUAGAUAUUGGGAGGAACACCAGUGGCGAAGGCGGCUUUCUGGACAGAAACUGACGUUGAGGCACGAAAGUGUGGGGAGCAAACAGGAUUAGAUACCCUGGUA
rnacentral:rRNA from 1 species